ACCAAAGGGGAAGGCAGUCUCGCUGGGCAAAUAAUGACGCUCAUAUGCGAAAGCGUGGGUAGCAAACAGGAUUAGAUACCCUGGUAGUCCACGCCGUAAACGAUGUCAACUAGGAGCUCGGACUUAAGUCUGGGUUCCGUAGCAAACGCAACAAAUUGACCGCCUGGGGAGUACGGCCGCAAGGUUAAAACUCAAAUGAAUUGACGGGGGCCCGCACAAGCGGUGGAGCAUGUGGUUUAAUUCGACGCAACGCGAAGAACCUUACCUGACCUUGACAUAGUGAGAACUUUCUAGAGAUAGAUAGGUGCCUUCGGGAACUCAGACACAGGUGCUGCAUGGCUGUCGUCAGCUCGUGUCGUGAGAUGUUGGGUUAAGUCCCGUAACGAGCGCAACCCUCGUCUUUAUUUACCAGCACGUAAUGGUGGGCACUCUAAGGAGACUGCCGGUGACAAACCGGAGGAAGGUGGGGAUGACGUCAAGUCAUCAUGGCCCUCACGGCCAGGGCUACACACGUGUUACAAUGGUUGGUACAACGGGCGGCCAAGUCGCGAGACGGAGCUAAUCCCAUAAAACCAAUCGUAGUCCGGAUCGCAGUCUGCAACUCGACUGCGUGAAGCGGGAAUCGCUAGUAAUCCCGGAUCAGCAUGCCGGGGAGAAUGCGUUCCCGGCCCUCGUACUCACCGCCCGUCA
rnacentral:rRNA from 1 species